rnacentral:rRNA from 1 species
UACAGAGGUCUCAAGCGUUGUUCGGAUUCAUUGGGCGUAAAGGGUGCGUAGGCGGCGCGGUAAGUCGGGUGUGAAAUUUCGAGGCUUAACUUCGAAACUGCAUUCGAUACUGCCGUGCUUGAGGACUGGAGAGGAGACUGGAAUUUACGGUGUAGCGGUGAAAUGCGUAGAUAUCGUAAGGAAGACAAGUGGCGAAGGCGGGUCUCUGGACAGUUCCUGACGCUGAGGCACGAAGGUCAGGGGAGCAAACGGG